GCCUCCGUAGCUCAAUGGAUAGAGCAGCAGUUUCCUAAACUGCGGGUACGGGUUCAACUCCCGUCGGGGGCC
rnacentral:tRNA from 2 species